UACGUAGGGUGCAAGCGUUAAUCGGAAUUACUGGGCGUAAAGCGUGCGCAGGCGGUGAUGUAAGCCAGAUGUGAAAUCCCCGGGCUUAACCUGGGAACUGCGCUUCUAACUGGCAGGCUUGAGUGUGGCAGAGGGGGGUGGAAUUCCACGUGUAGCAGUGAAAUGCGUAGAUAUUGGGAGGAACACCAGUGGCGAAGGCGGCUCACUGGACCGGAACUGACGCUGAGGCGCGAAAGCGUGGGGAGCAAACAGG
rnacentral:rRNA from 1 species